rnacentral:lncRNA from 1 species
AUGUUUAUAACAGUAUAAAUGUUCUCACAGAUGUUUUAGAUGUUUAUAACAGUAUAAAAGGUUCUCACAGUAGUUUUAGAUGUUAUAACAGUAUAAAGGUUCUCACAG